rnacentral:rRNA from 1 species
CAGUCGCGUUCUCUGGGAUUCAGCCUUGCUUUUGCUUGGUGCAUUUCCUAGUCUACGGGCCAGCAUGGAUUUCGAUCGGUGGAAAAGGGUUGGGGGAAUGUGGCACCUCCGGGUGUGUUAUAGCCCUUGGUCGUAUACAUCGGUUGGGACUGAGGAACUCAGCACGCCGCAAGGCCGGUCUUCGGACACGUUCGUGCUUAGGAUGCUGGCAUAAUGGCUUUAANCGACCCGUCUUGAAACACGGACCAAGGAGUCUAACAUAUAUGCGAGUGUU